CGAAUCCCAUAAAGCCAUUCUCAGUUCGGAUUGCAGGCUGCAACUCGCCUGCAUGAAGCCGGAAUCGCUAGUAAUCGCGGAUCAGCAUGCCGCGGUGAAUACGUUCCCGGGCCUUGUACACACCGCCCGUCACACCACGAGAGUUUGUAACACCCGAAGUCGGUGAGGUAACCUUCAUGGAGCCAGCCGCCUAAGGUGGGACAGAUGAUUGGGGUGAAGUCGUAACAAGGUAGCCGUAUCGGAAGGUGCGGCUGGAUCACCUCCUUU
rnacentral:rRNA from 1 species